rfam:Oryza glaberrima chromosome 6 Oglab06_0030_2, whole genome shotgun sequence.
AAAAAGACAAACACUGAGUUUCCAUGUCUAACGUUUGACUGUCCGUCUUAUAUGAAAUUUUUUAUAAUUACUAUUUUUAUUGUUGUUAGAUGAUAAAACAUAAUUAAUAUUUUAUGCGUGACUUGUAUUUUUAAUUUUUUUUAUAAUUUUUAAAUAAGACAGACGAUUGGAAACUCAGG